rnacentral:hammerhead_ribozyme from 1 species
UCCCUGCUGACGAGUCCAUCAAGGACGAAACGCCGCGUACAGGGA